UUUACUUUAGUGUAUAGAGCACAUAAAAUUUUGAUUUUUAAAGAGAAUUUCAAGUAACU
rnacentral:tRNA from 1 species